rnacentral:rRNA from 1 species
AAUGAACGUUGGCGGCGUGGAUUAGGCAUGCAAGUCGUACGCCCCGCAAGGGGCGUGGCGCAAGGGUGAGUAAGGCGACGGCAACCAACCUGGGGGCCGGACAUAGCCGCGGGAAACUGCGGGUAAUAUCCGGCGCCGUCGGAGGAUGGCAUCAUCUCCCGACGAAAGGUGUGACUCCGCCCCCAGACGGGCCGUCGUGGUAUUAGGUAGUUGGCGGGGUAACGGCCCACCAAGCCUGCGAUGCCUACCGGGCGUGCGAGCGUGGCCCGGCACACUGGGACUGAGACACUGCCCAGACACCUACGGGUGGCUGCAGUCGAGAAUCUUCGGCAAUGGGCGCAAGCCUGACCGAGCGACGCCGCGUGGAGGAUGAAGGCCUUCGGGUUGUAAACUCCUGUCGAGGGGGAACAAGGUGCCGUGCAGAGCGGCGCUUGAGUGAUCCCUGGAGGAAGCACGGGCUAAGUUCGUGCCAGCAGCCGCAGUAAUAC